AUUGAACGCUGGCGGCAUGCUUUACACAUGCAAGUCGAACGGACUUAGGGGCUUGCUCCUGAGUUAGUGGCGAACGGGUGAGUAAUGCAUCGGAACGUACCGUGUAGUGGGGGAUAACGCAGCGAAAGUUGUGCUAAUACCGCAUACGAUCUACGGAUGAAAGCAGGGGAUCGCAAGACCUUGUGCUAUACGAGCGGCCGAUGUCGGAUUAGCUAGUUGGUGAGGUAAAGGCUCACCAAGGCGACGAUCCGUAGCGGGUCUGAGAGGAUGAUCCGCCACACUGGGACUGAGACACGGCCCAGACUCCUACGGGAGGCAGCAGUGGGGAAUUUUGGACAAUGGGCGCAAGCCUGAUCCAGCCAUGCCGCGUGAGUGAAGAAGGCCUCGG
rnacentral:rRNA from 1 species